rfam:Populus trichocarpa isolate Nisqually-1 chromosome 19, whole genome shotgun sequence.
AGACCAGUGCUUAUGGUUUACAUCAGUCACCAAAUACCAUCUUUCGGGACUGAAAGAGUCUUGUUGACAUUCUGCAAUUCUGAGGCCU